rnacentral:lncRNA from 1 species
UUAAAUAUCGUCGCUGGGCUUCUAAAAUGUCGUAUAUGACUUUUUUGGCUAAAAAUACUUGUUGACACCAAUGGUCUGGGCGGGAGGAAAUCUUUGUUAUCACAAAAUAGCAUACAGUUAGACCAAUCAAAAUGUGUGAAAUAAGACAUAUUACAAAAUGCAAUGUCAGUUGUUUGUAAAGUUGCUUCCAAAAUGUUGUAUGAAAACUUGAAAAUCGUUGUAGAAUGGUUUUGGGAAAAAAAUAAUUGUACAUUUCUUUAUUUCUGUGAAAA